ACGCACGCUGGCGGCGUGCCUCAUACAUGCAAGUCGCACGCUUCUUUCCUCCCGAGUGCUUGCACUCAAUUGGAAAGAGGAGUGGCGGACGGGUGAGUAACACGUGGGUAACCUACCCAUCAGAGGGGGAUAACACUUGGAAACAGGUGCUAAUACCGCAUAACAGUUUAUGCCGCAUGGCAUAAGAGUGGAAGGCGCUUUCGGGUGUCGCUGAUGGAUGGACCCGCGGUGCAUUAGCUAGUUGGUGAGGUAACGGCUCACCAAGGCCACGAUGCAUAGCCGACCUGAGAGGGUGAUCGGCCACACUGGGACUGAGACACGGCCCAGACUCCUACGGGAGGCAGCAGUAGGGAAUCUUCGGCAAUGGACGAAAGUCUGACCGAGCAACGCCGCGUGAGUGAAGAAGGUUUUCGGAUCGUAAAACUCUGUUGUUAGAGAAGAACAAGGACGUUAGUAACUGAACGUCCCCUGACGGUAUCUAACCAGAAAGCCACGGCUAACUACGUG
rnacentral:rRNA from 1 species